ncrna:unclassified sequences LOOT RNA
UGCCUAACCCUUGUGAGCUAAAACUCCGAGGUAUGGCAGAAAAACCCCGCUACAGGAUAAAGAGCUCAUCGUCAGCUCACCUGUAGCGGGUCAUAUCCGAAAGGGUAUGGGUGACCGAAAGGUUGCC